rnacentral:rRNA from 1 species
AGAGUUUGAUCAUGGCUCAGAAUCAACGCUGGCGGCGUGCCUAACACAUGCAAGUCGAACGAGAAAGGGUAGCAAUACCUGAGUAAAGUGGCGCACGGGUGAGUAACACGUGACUAACCUACCCUUGAGUGGGGGAUAACUUCGGGAAACCGAGGCUAAUACCGCAUAACACCUACGGGUCAAAGGAGCAAUUCGCUCGAGGAGGGGGUCGCGGCCGAUUAGUUAGUUGGCAGGGUAAUGGCCUACCAAGACGAUGAUCGGUAUCCGGCCUGAGAGGGCGCACGGACACACUGGAACUGAAACACGGUCCAGACUCCUACGGGAGGCAGCAGUGGGGAAUUUUGCGCAAUGGGGGAAACCCUGACGCAGCAACGCCGCGUGGAGGAUGAAGUCCUUCGGGACGUAAACUCCUUUCGAUCGGGACGAUUAUGACGGUACCGGAAGAAGAAGCCCCGGCUAACUUCGUGCCAGCAGCCGCGGUAAUACGAGGGGGGGCGAGCGUUGUUCGGAAUUAUUGGGCGUAAAGGGUGCGUAGGCGGUUUGGUAAGUCUUGUGUGAAAUCUACAGGCUCAACUUGUAGUCUGCACGAGAAACUGCCGGGCUUGAGUAUGGGAGAGGUGAGUGGAAAUUCCCUGGGUGUAGCGGUGAAAUGCGUAGAUAUCAGGAGGAACACCUGUGGCGAAGCGGGCUCACUGGACCAUAACUGACGCUGAUGCACGAAAGCCUAGGGGGAGCAAACAGGAUUAGAUACCCUGGUUAGUCCCUAGCCUAACGAUGACUGCCUGUGUGACGGUACCUAAUCCCGGCGUGCGGUAGCUAACGCGUUAGGCCAGUCGCCUUGGGGGAGUUACAGGUCGCCAGCUGCCAAACUCAAAGAG